CACGACCAUGAAGUUUGAUGGGUCGCGUAAUAUGCAAAAUCAUAUCAUCGAGAUGACUACCAUUGCAGCAAGACUCCGAACCUUAGCGAUGAAAGUCGAUGACACAUUCUUGGUUUGGUUCAUUCUGAACUCAUUGCCUCUUGAGUAUGGACCAUUCCAAAUUAACUAUAACACUAUUAAGGAUAAGUGGGAUGUUAGUGAAAUUGUCCAGUAUACUUACUCAAGAAGAGUCAAGACUUAAGAAACAAAGAGGUCAUUCCAUUAACCUCAUGGGUCAAGAAUCUGGUAAAGAACUUAAAGUAAAAGCCAGCAAGCUUAAGAAAAGGAAAGCACCUGCUAAAGUUCCACAGGAUGCUCAUAAGGAACUCAAGGCUGAUGUACGUCAUUUCUGUAAAAGGAAGGACACUGUCAGAGAGAUUGCCUGAAAUAUAAAGUUUGAUUUGAAAAGAAAGGGAUUCACUACGAUCCAAACUACGAAUACAAAUAAAAAUAUUACUUGUUCAUAGGAAAUCGCAUGAAGGCUAAAAUUGAAGGCAUAGGGACUUAUCGUUUGAACUUGGAGACUGGACAUCACCUUGAUCUAUUACAGACUCUUUAUGUUCCUUCAUUUUCUAGAAAUUUGAUUUCCCUUUCAAGACUUGAUGUUUUUGGAUUUGAUUUUAAGUUUGGAUAUAGAUGUUUCAAUUUAUAUAAGAAUAUUAUUUUUAUA